UACCUGCAGCUCAAGUGGUGACCGCUAUUAUUGGGCCUAAAACGUUCGUAGCCGGCUGAGUAAAUGCUUGGGUAAAUCGUGUAGCUUAACUAUACGAAUUCCGGGUAGACUGCUUAGCUUGAGACCGGGAGAAGCUAGAGGUACUCCUGGGGUAGAGGUGAAAUUCUGUAAUCCUGGGGGGACCACCAGUGGCGAAGGCGUCUAGCUAGAACGGGUCUGACGGUGAGGGACGAAACCCUGGGGCGCAAACCGGAUUAGAUACCCGUGUAGUCCAGGGCGCAAACGCUGCUUGCUUGACGUUAGUCGGGCUCCGAGCUCGGCUAGUGUCGGAGAGAAGUUGUUAAGCAAGCUGCCUGGGAAGUACAAUCGCAAGAUUGAAACUUAAAGGAUUGGCGGGGAGCACAGCAACGGGUGGAGCGUGCGGUUU
rnacentral:rRNA from 1 species